rnacentral:rRNA from 1 species
GACGAACGCUGGCGGCAAGCUUAACACAUGCAAGUCGAACGCCGUAGCAAUACGGAGUGGCAGACGGGUGAGUAACGCGUGGGAACGUGCCUUUCGGUUCGGAACAACUGAGGGAAACUUCAGCUAAAACCGGAUACGCCCUUCGGGGGAAAGUUUACGCCGAAAGAUCGGCCCGCGUUAGAUUAGCUAGUUGGUGGGGUAAUGGCCUACCAAGGCGACGAUCUAAAGCUGUUCUGAGAGGAAGAUCAGCCACACUGGGACUGAGACACGGCCCAGACUCCUACGGGAGGCAGCAGUGGGGAAUAUUGGACAAUGGGCGCAAGCCUGAUCCAGCUAUGCCGCGUGGAUGAAGAAGGCCUUAGGGUUGUAAAGUCCUUUCGUUGGUGAAGAUAAUGACGGUAACCAAAGAAGAAGCCCCGGCUAAUUUCGUGCCAGCAGCCGCUGUAAAAC